AAGCGGGUGGGCGGGGGCGGCGAGCGCCCCGGGACGGGCUCGGCCGGGCCGGCGCCGCGCCCCUGCGUGCGCACACUGGGCGGAGGCAGAGGGGCGGCACCCCCUCCCCGGACCGAGCGGGGGUCCUAGACAGGCCGCGGGCGGGGAGCGGGGGCGCGGCGCCCUCGCGGGCAGGAGAGUGACACGAUCAUCUCCUUUUCCUUUAAGCUUGCCUGUUGCCGACGCCGCCGCUCCAGCCGCGCCUCGGGCAGAAGACUGGACCGCUGAGCCCCGGGCCGCGGCGGCGGCCGAGAGCCCCACGGAUGCCGUGACCCCCUGCCCGGGGGCGGGGGACGGGGCCAGACCGGCCGGGGCCGCUCCCGCGCCCCUCCUCCCACCUCUCUGCCCUCCUCCUUCCCCUCUCCCCGCCCCCCGGCCCCGAACCCCGCGCACCUCGUCUGGGGACGGGGCGGGGGGGGGGCAGGGCCGCCGUUGCUCCCCGCCCCCUCCUCCUCGGGCCUCGGGAGCGAUUUGUCAAACUUCCCAUUCCGCCGGCAGCGCGAUCCUCUCCUCCUCCUCCUCCUUCCCCACCUCCUCCUCCCCCCGCGCUCCUCCCUCCCCGCGCCUCCCUUGCUCGCCCUCCUCCUUCCCUCCGCACGUUCGGGGAUCGCGGCGGAGCGCGGAGAGGGGGGACGCGGAGAGCCGGCGCGCAGCAGCAUCCUGCGGGCGGCCGCUCUCCGGGGGGGAGGCUGAGGGCCGGCCCGCCUCACCCCCCGUGCGCCCGCCGCCCCUCCCUCCCUCUCCUCAGCCCGGCGGCGGCGGCGGCGGCGGCGGCAGCAGUCGCCGGAGGAGCAUCAUGCCGAGGAGGAAGCAGCAGGCGCCCCGGCGCGCAGCAGAUAUGGAAGGAGAAAGAAACUUUCUGCUAAAGGCAAGUGGACCGAUUACUUAUAAUUCAACUGGCCAUUCUUUGAAGAAGACAUUUUUGGAACUUCUAUCUUGGCACCACCUAAUUACGCAGACAAGUGGAGCAUUGAUGGCUAGACUAGGAAGUGAGUUUCUGCAGGUUGGGAUCAACCUGAGGCACGUUAGUGCUGCUGCUGGCUAUCAGCCUGGGCUGGCCUUUGAGAGCCUGUCCCUGGCCUGCCAGAGGCCCUGAUGUGGCCGACAGCCUCCCACCACCAGCCCCUUUCAUAGCUGAUGGCAUUUGCAAGCAUCCAGGCCCUUCCAGUUCAUUAAACCCCAAGAACAACUUGGGGAUGCAGGUGGUCUUUCCCUGAGGUGUAGACUGAGUGAGUUAUUUGAGCCUUCUCACUUUUCAGCAAGGUGCGUUGGUACUGAGUGGGUCUUGUGUAAAUGAAAUCUAGCUGGGGUCCUGGGUAAAAGUUAUAUUUCUUCCAACAGAGUUUAUAGCAACGUUUUUCUUAAUUAUUCUUGAUGUUUUGCCCAUUAUGCCAUUAGCUUCUUCAGAGGACAGAGAUAAAUAGCUGGUACCCACAAGAACAAAGUGUGAACUGAAUGCAUUCAAUUAUUGAUAUCUCAGUAACUAAAGGUUCUAAAAUGAUGUUGUCAAAUGCCUUAGUGAUCUGACAGCAGAUGUAUUGGUUUGCAGAUGCAACUGGAGACACUAUCCAAAUAAACUCUAGAAAGGGAGAACAUUAAACAAAUAAGAGAAUAUAGUAGUUCAUUUUCUCAUUUCUUUUUUUCUCCAGCAUAAUUAGUUUCAUUAGGUAAUAUGCAGGAUAUUUUUUUCAAUAUGUGAUAAGAUACAGAUUGCAUGUAUACUACUGUCUUUAAGUAAAAAUGUCUGGCUCUAUCACAUAGAUAGUCAUGUGUAUAUAUAUUUAUGUACAUAUAUAGGUAUUUAUACAUGUUUGUAGGUACAUGGAUAUGUGUGCAUGUUUGUAUAUGUAUGUGCACAUGUAUUUAUAUAUAUAGUAUGUAUGUGUAUAACCUGGUUGAAAUCAAUGUUUUCACAGUCUUAUUCUUAACAAAGGGAAUUUUAAAACUAGCCUCAUGCAUGUUUUCUAACAGAAUAAGCAGAAUGUUAACAAAUUACAUUUCUUUCUCUCCCAUUAGCUACCAAGUCCUUAUCAUAUGUAUUAAAGUAAUGAUGUCAGGUAUUUAUCCUGACAUGUUAAUAUAACUUCUCAUAUUUUCAAUUAUCUCAGUUUUUUAUUUUACUAUCUUUAAAAUGUGAAGUAUGAUUUCCAGGGUUUAACACAUGUAUUGAACUCCAUUGCUGUUGGGCAGACAUGCACCAAUAGCCCAUAGGCUCAAUGUCUGGAACCCUAAGUCCGGUGUCAGGAAAGAAAGGAACUGUAUGAAUAUGUCAAACGUUGUCAAUAUUUUUUUUUUGAGUGUGAUAUAUUUAUGAUAAUGAUAUAUUUUUUCUUGUGGCUUUUUACUCACUUGCUCUUUCUUUUAAGAGAAAGCUGAUACCUUUCAGCAGUCUGGUUGAGUGCUCUAAGGAGAAAGCCCACAUUCUGGGCUGGUCACCCCCCACCUGGAUACCUUCUCCCCGUUCCUCACGUGAGGUGGGCUGUAAUUCUUCCCUGGAGUGUCCUCCCAUGUGCACUGGUCCAUACUCAUGGCUGCGUGAGAUUCUGGGAGAAGAUUUAUUUGCUACUGCACAGAUGUUUACAGCUACAAACAUGUUGCCUUUACGGCUGCUUACUUGGAAAUGAAAUACUGAGUCUCCAUAAGAUACUUGCCCCACAUCCUGAGGAUUGCAGUUCCAUGAGAAAGUGUCUUAGAGUGACAUAUCACGAGAGGUAAGCACCACCCUCAUUCUGAAGCAGCUGGGUGUGGGCGUGCAUGUGUACACACACACAUAAACACACAUGCACACACACACAUGCACUAGGCUUCUGCAUGUACAGGGUUGUUCCACAGAAGCUAUAGAUAUAGAGCUGUGAAAGGUUGACAGUAGCCUUCCCUCGUGAAAAUAAAUGCAUUUUAAUUUUUUGUAUUAGAAAAGCAAUAAUGCACAUAAUACAAAUCCAAGAGAACCAAAGGGCAAACAAUUAAAAGAGAGUUCCCCUCCCUAGGGGCAAGCACUGUAACUAUUUUAUGGUAUAUCCUUGCAGAUUUUUAAAAUCAUGAAUAUACAUAUAUACUGUAUAUUGUACCUUUCUGUUUACAAUUAAAAUAUAUUUUAGAUAUCUGCAACUUACUUUGAUGUGCAUCCAGAUGUUAAGAUAUGCAGAUGGAUGGAUAGACCCAAAUAUUAUAAAGCAAGUAAAGUGUUAAAGUUAGAAUCUAGGUGAUGGAUAGGUAUAAAGUAAAAUUCUUUAAACUUUGCUGUAUGAAUUAAAGCUUUCAUAAUAAAAUGGUGGCAAAAUGUCUAUGUCAGUGACCAUCUUAUAUCUUGUUAUAUUAUGUGCCUUACAUUAUUUUAUAUUAUAUUAUGUUACAUAGAGCUACCUCUUGCUUUUUAAGAGUGGCGUAUUUCUCCAAGGGAACAAGUUUCCCCCUGGAUGGGCAUUUAGAUCGCUCUGAGUAUUUUCUUGUGCGCACAGUGCCACAAUGAACAUCCUUCUGCAUACAUCUUUUUACAGUAAUAUCCUUUCACUUAUAUCUUUGUGGGGUAUAUCCCUAAAAGCAGAAUUUUCAGCUGCAAGGUUAUGUUCAGUUAACAAAAUGAUAAAUAUCCAAAUUGUUCUCCUAAGAUUGCACGAACUUCCCUUCACACAGCAACGUGGGAGUGUGCUCAUGACGUUAACUGGCUGUCAGAGCUUAGGUAAUACAGAAUUAUAGUCAGAAACUCCCUCCUCUUGCUUAGCAAGGGCUCAGCAUGUCUCUGUGCAUCUGAAAAAGGACACAAAUGUCUAAGUGUAUCAAUCUCCAUAUUAAUCUCAAACUUGUUUGCCUUUUUUAUUUAUAUAUGUUAUUUAUCUCUGGAUGACAGAAAAUAGAUGUCAAGUUCUUAGGAUCAGAGACCUUUAGAUUCAGCUAGACUGACAGCCUCAUUUGAGGGACAAGAAAACCACGGUCCAGACUUGGAAAGAGACCAGCCCAAGUUCACAUGGUCAUUUCCUGGCUGAACUCAGCUGUCGAAGGCAUUGAGUGAUUUAACACCUGGCUUUGUGGUCAGACUGCAGAAGCUGCUCCAUGGGCAUCCCUGUUACCUGAGGCUGCUCAUAGAGAGCCCGGCAGCCAGGACAGAGGUGCUGGGACUGUGUAUUAUCUAUGUUUAGCACCCACGGAGUAUGGCAGAGGUGGCUGGCUUGACAUGAAGCUUCUUAGAUAAUGACCAUAGAAUACUGAAAAUGUCCUUUUGGGUUUUGGCUGAAUAAUACUUAAGGAUUUUGAAACAGUGCCUUAAUUGUGUUUUUAUGUAAUUGAUGAUAUUGUGGUAAAAUGUAUUGAGACACCACAUCAGCAUUUUUAUAACUGUUCCUUGGAGAAAAAUAUGCUCAUAUGAAACUGUUUUCUUCACUUUACUCUUAUGGAAUUGGAAAAAAAAAUCAUUGUGCUUCCAUGGAAUCACUGUGCCCAGAGAUUCUCUAAUUUUAAAGUGUCUUCCCCUCCGGACUUGGCCUAAAUUACACAAGGAUGCCUCGCCUAAGUUGGGUUGUCCCUUGUUUGGGAAGUGAUGGGAGUACAGGGCAAGGGCCUGUUGUGUCGGGAAGUUGGUGCAAAAUGCUGUCCGGGCAGAUUUCAGGGAAGUUCUUAUGCUGACAGGUCAGCGUGCCACAGGCCAAAGGAGGCCUUGAGGCUUGGAACCCCGGCUGCAGCCACUUCUCGACUAGGCUUCAUGCAUCUACCGACUGCUCUGGGUUUGGAAGGGAUUCGAAAGAAAGUGCUCCCCAUUGUUACACAGGAAUAGCUUCAGUUCCCAGAAGUUGCAUCUGAACUCAAAGCCCUCAUACUUUUAUGUUGGCAUCAGAUAAAUCAGAGCAUUUAAAUAAAUUAUAUAGUUUUCCUAUCUUGGCUCAAUGUUUGCAUGUUGAGGGGAGUUUAAGCCAAUUGUAAAACUUAAUUUUGAUCCAAAUCUUGCUACCUGAUGUUUCAUUCUGAAGAGUCAAAUUGUAAAUAUUAAAAAUAAAAAUUUAGACAGUUGCUUUCUAAUUAUGGAAAACUCACAGGUCUACUGAAUUAAAAAAUAAUAGUAAUGCUUUAAAAGCACCAUUGGCUGCCUUCCUAGUGGCUUGGCUCUCAUGCACUGCUUACAGUAGGCCCAUGGUGUAUGCACAGGCUCAGGGGGCCUGCCGGGGCAAGCUGAUGCCAAGCCAGAGAGCUGGCCUCAAAUUGUGUGCUUCAGAGCUGUUCUCCUCCUGGGUGUGGUUGUGACAGCCCUCCUCGUUUCUGAACCCUAGACCCUUGUGGUCCCCACAGUGAGCACAGCCCCACCUGGAGCGUGCUGCCUGCAGUUGCUCCUGCAGUGUUUGCAGAAGUCACCCAGGGAAAACACAACAGCAUCUCCAGGCACCUGUGUGUGGUGUGUGUGCGUGGAGGGGAUACACAGUUUCAGGGACAUAACAGCACUUUAGCCCUCACUCUUUGAGAGAAACGCUUUUCCACAGUGUGCGACAGUACGGGGAGGUUGCUGGGGACUGUUUUCCAUGCCCCAGUGUGUCCGUUGGGCAGCAGCCAGGCUCUUCCUGUGGUUUGAAUAUGGACAUUUCUUAGGGCUCAUCACGGGUCUACUAAUGUGAAGUCAUCUGGGUAUUAUUCAUAAGCCAAGUGCACCUCUCUGAGAGCAGAGAUAAAUCUAAUGCUUCCACUUUGUAGAGUUGUUUGACAUUGAACCCUUGUAGAGGUGAAAAACAAACAAAAAGUCAAGAAAAAAAAACACAAAAAGAAACUGUGCAUUGACAGAAUUCUGCUGUCUUUUUACUUAAAUGAUAAAGCUCAUGUGUCUUUAUAACUGAAAUAAAAUAUAAUGAACCUAUGUAUAAGCGCUCAUCAUUGAAUCAUAGUAUUUUUUCCCCUAAGUUUUAAAACAUUCCAAGUCAUUGAAUAGUGAAGAUUGCCACAUGCUUGCAGUGGAGCCUCAUGAUUUUGCUCUACUCCACAGAGCUGAGGAUGGAUGGUGGCUGUGUGCUGAUGGGCUGAGGUGGGCAACGAGCUCCCUGCUGGGAGAGAGGACCUGGCCCUUGGCUUCUGGGACUGUGCAUAGUCAUCCCUUUGGGUUAACUCAGUAUUUGCUAGCAAAAGGCUUAUUUAAAACAAUUUCCAUGGAAGAAAAUGCUCCCGACUCUAAUGUUGCAUGAAAAAAGGUUGCCAAAUGCGGUAUAAACCCGACACACACACAUACACACACAUGCCCAUGUGAUAAUAGAGAAAAAGGAUUAAGUACCUCAAAAUUAAAGUCAUCUUUUUUCUUUGUUAUCCUUUUUUUAUAUGCCUUUCUUUAUUUUCUAAAUUUUCAGUAGACAUAUAUCAUAACUUUUAGACCUGAUAUUGAUGCUGUCUUGUGUCACAUACUUUUGUGGCCAAGCAGAAGGAAGGUGAUUAAUUAGUUUCAUUCAUUCACUUAAUUAAUUAAUUCACAAAUUAAGAAAUUCUUUUUCUCCUGGCUUCAACUUCUUGCACAUUCUCUCUCCCUCCCUCCUGUCCUCCCUCUCUCUCUUUCUCAAUCUCUCUCUAUCCAUCUCUUAUACACACACACACACAACUUAGAGCAAAAGCUCUACUUCCCACAUUGGCCUGCUCUUAUGGAUAUCAAGAGGUGAGGCAUUAAAUAGUCUGCACUGGUUGGUCUUCACCUGGCUACCUGUAGUCAGGACCCUUGAGUUUACCAGACCUGAGUGUUUUAACACCUCCUGGUACAAGUGGGUUUCCAUGCAGUUCCAAGCACAGCUUGAGUCUCCAAAUUAAGCUCUGUAAAGAUUACCAGAAAUAUACUCACAAGGUGGAAAGUUUAAAAACAAAAUAACCUUAGAAAGGCCUCUGGGGCGUGUCAGUAGCAAAUCAUUUGAUGAUCCCAUUGAGCAUGUCCAAGGGGUGCUGUAACGUUAGAAGUGGAGCUGGGGCAUGGAGGCCUUGCGUGGUGUCCAGCCCUGAGCAGGGUCCUUUGCCCAGGAGCACCAUUGUUACUUAUCUUACACGGGACUGAUUUGUGAGAUUCAGUGGAUUACCUUAGACUAUAAGGACCUAGAGCGAGAAGGGAGGGCCUUUAAAAGAAAACGUGAAAAUAUUCUUAUUUUGCUUGUAUGUGUUGCUGUCAUCCUUCAACACCAACACCAUUUUUACAUUCUUUAUGUAUUGAGAAGUGUAAAACAAUACAUUGACACUUGCCAAGUUACCAAGUUAUGAUUUUAAAAUCUUGAGGCUGAAAUUCACCUUUUUGGAGGUUGUAUCAUGAGACUGCCUGGUGGGGUGGCCUGUCUUAACACCUGCUAAACCAUCUCAACCAGCCCUUAGGGAAGGGAACUCAGCCUUCUUCACCCAUGCCAGAGGUUCAGCUCUGCCCAGGACUUAGUAACAUCCUACAACCAGAGAUAAAAACAUUCCCCAAGGUGCCCGUGAAUGCCCGGAUCUGCAGCUGAGCCAUUCCUUCUUAGUCCAGUGUGCCAAAAGUCAGGGAGAUAUCAGCCUCCUGGCACUGCCUUCCUUUAGCCAGAUGUACUGUAGACUUGCCUCCUACAGCCACAUGUCAUCAGCACAGUCUCUUGGACUGCACCUAGCCAUGUCCUAAUUACAAUGACCUGCAAAGGCUUAGGUCAGGGGAGAGGUCAGUUAUUCAGUCAUCCUGAGCCAGUGACCCCUCCCCAGAAGGGCAGGUGAGGAAAUGUAGCCCCCAAUUCAAGAACAGUUGCAGAAACUGUCCCUGGCAGGGGGGCUUAGAGCACAAAGCAGAUCUAUCACACCAGGUGACACCAGCUCUCAGACAGCUUAUGACCAGCACAUCUUAUUUUUUUUUUAAGGUUAACUAAUACUCACACAGUGGAAUAUUACAGAGCAGUAAAAAUGACAGAGCCCCAAGUACAUGUGACAGGAGGGAUAGAUCUUAGAAACAUACUGUAAGUGGAUGAAGCAGGUCUAGGAAGGCUUCAUCAGGCUGCAGUCAUAGCUAGCACUAAAUUGGGCUUGUUUGGGGCACACACAUUUUAUCCAGGGUGCCUGCCUGAUGGGGGUGCCAGGGGUAAUGUGAUUCUCAGGGAGGGUCCUGCUUCACUGGUGUUUCUUUUGUUAAUUACACUUAAGAACCUAUGUGUAUAUAUAUAAAUAUAUAUAUAUAUAAUGUGGACUUUUGUAUGUAUUUCAAUCUUACAUGAGAAAAUGAUUCUGGGCGUGUCCUUGCUGGUCAUUAAGAUCAUUUCCAGCUCUUAGCUGGAUCUUUGAGCCACACUGACACAAUUGUGUUUCAGUUUAGGGAGAUUUGGCAAGAAGCUACCCAUCACUUCUAUGAGGUUUUUCUUGGGGGAGAGUGUUAGAAGCCACGGGGCCACCACCGGUUGCUCUGAGGCCAUCUUUGCAGGAGCCCGCACAGGCCACUCUGUGGUGUAGCGGCCUUCCUCCCCUCCUCGGCUGACUUUGUGCCCCUUGUUUCAAGGGCUGUUGUGGUUCUGAAGGUGAGAAAGUGUUUUGUUCUUGCUGUUGUUACUGUCAGGGUGGCUGUUUUCCCCAUUUCAAAGUUCCCUGGGUAGAAACUUUCUCUCUGCCUCGUGGUGCUUUGAGGGGCCUUUAGCCCAUGGCAGGCGAGCCGUGGUGUCCUUGGGCCUGGCUCCCUCACCCCUGUGGGGACAUCAGACUGCUGCACAGGUGGUCUUCUGUGCCUCAGGUGAGAGAAGUCAGGUUAGGAGGCCCGCAUGACAGUUUGUACGCUCACAUUGAGGCUUUUCUGUUUUCACUUCUUUGUGUGGUUUCCUUGUACCUCACUGCAUGAUUUUCAUACAUCUGUAUAUGUAUUUCUAAUUCCCAAUGAAACCUUUAAAAUAUUUAUUGGAAACACUGAUUUAUGUGCAAAAUUCUUAAAGAAUACAAAAAAUUAUUUCCUGUAGUUUUGGUUAGCAGCCUUUUGUGUUUAUAGCCUUCUUUUAUCUGCAGCGGAGCUGGGGGCUCGUGGCAGCUGCUGUCGACGAUGGCUUAGCGUUGCUAAGUUGUUUGGUGGCAAUCCACACUUUCCCUAAGUCCUGUUGUUCUUUUUCUUUAGGGGAAUGGAUUAUGUGACUUUUAACGGGACUGUUUGGAUGCAUGCUUUUAUAUCCAGACCUAUUCACCCAGGAAAAGCAACUCCUCAGGUCGCUAGUAUCAGACUCCUGAGACCAUUGAAGAGACUGAGCUGAAAUUAAUUAGAUGCAUUUAACCAUGGCACCAGGCUGGUGGGAAUGUCCACAGCCGUGGGAGGGACCCGCAAGGAGGCACCAGAGAUGCUAUAAAGCCCUACUCUUGGGAGUAGGUGUUUGCUACAGUAUUGGUGUGAUGAUCGUUUCCUUCUGAUAAUGGAGUUUUAUCAUUUAGAGAUGGCAAGUUAAGAUACUUUUAUUGAAUGAACUUCCUGCUAAGUUUCUGAGCCAUGGUUGGGUUUAUGACAUAAUUGCUCUACAUGUUGAUACCAUCUUUUAUCAUAAUUGUUUUUCAUUGUUUUUAAUAAAGGGAUAAAAAUAAUAGGAGACAUUUUAGAAAGUGGGUUUUUUUUUGUUCUAUUAUUCAUGAUACUAAAAAUUACCCAAAAUAAGAUUUUUUACAAAAAAGGAUUUUGUUCCAAAAGUGACUAAUUUAAAUCAGUUUAUACAAUGAACUUGCUAAUGAUCCUCAGUCUAGAGGACUGUAAUGCUUUUAUACUGUUAUCAUUUUUUAUGAAUAGAAUUAUACAAAAAAGUUCCUAUUGUGUUGUACAGUGAGUUUCACACAACCAUCCUUUAUCAACAGAUGGCAACCAGCACAUGAAAAAUAAUUAAAAAAUAAAAUGAAAAGAAACCGAGAAUGAAUUAAAGUGCUUCUUUGCGUUCUGAUCUGCAUUUUUGGUUUAGAAUUUUUAUGGUGAAUUGCCAUAUUAUCUGUUAUAUCAGUUUACAAUGAGGCUCCUAUCAGACAUAAAACAGAUUUAUAAUACCAUUAAAAUACAAUAUCAAAGAAUGAAUAAGCAAUUCAAUAAAAUUACAAUAACACAAAGAUAAAAUGAAAGCCUUUUCAAUAACAGUUUUAUGCAAGAACAUUUUGCAGAUAAAUAUGUGUUUAUAGAUCUUUUAAAUGUACAUUUAUUAUACUGUUCCUAAUAGAGCCACAGGGGUUAAUUUUUCCUGUGUGUUGUCUUUUAUAAGUGGUUUAAAAGCUAGCUGCAAAACUCUUCAAUAGAUUGUUUUGAAUCUUUGAAUUGAUUUUGGUAAAGGGAGCUUUUACAGUCCUGCAGCGGAACGUUCACACGCAAAUGAGUCAAUAUGGCUGGAACCCCCUGCCAGCGAGGGCUGGGGGCGCCCCUGCCGUGGGGAACCGGACGUGAAAAAGACACGGAGGAAAAAGUUUAGAAAUUAAGUUGGAUUGUGUGGGCCUCCCACCCCGGAUGUUUAGGUCUGAUUUCCGGAAGGAAAGUUUGAAAAAAAAAAAAGAGAAAGCCGAGGAUGACAAGUCACCCUUGUCGGGAGUAACGGGGUAGGCAGUGGGUCUGGCCGCAGCAGCUGCUGUCCCCGCGCAAGACGCAGGCGGCGGAAGCACAGGCUGCCGUUGCCGCCCGCCCGUGAAGCUGUGCUCUGCACUCUGUGUCCUGCUGCUUUCCCCACACCUGGCUUGUGCGUCUUAAUUAUGCAUCCUGUUUACUUCCUUUGUCUUUAAUUUUAGCAGGGAGCUCCUCAGGCCUUCUGUGAUCCUUGCCAUGCUCGGCCAGUAGGGUCAGUGUGGCAGGAAAUGUGGGGGAAAGGGUGUGAGGUGAGGACCAGGAGCCAGUACAGGCAGGUCUGUACUGAAUCCCUGGCAGGGCCUGGGUAGUGGGGUGAAGCCAGUGUUCCCCUUUUUGUCUCCAUCCAUAGUAUGCAUCAUUAAGGGUCCCAUCAUCUGGAGGGGGCUGAGGCCAGUCCUCACACCCUGGCCCUGGUGUGGUUUGGCUUGGAACAGCUGCCCUGCAUGGCUGGGGGUUUGAACUGCAGGAUAUCUGUACUUUAUGCUUCCCUCUUGGGAAGCUGGCUGAUCUGGGCUCUGGCUGGGGCCAGGGGGAUGCCCAGAAAGGUGGAGGGGAAGCUAAUAUAAGAAAAACAGGUUGGAUUUUGUUGACAGGUGAAAAAAAUUCUGCGAAGGGAAUUUUGUCCCCAGAAAAAAGUCUCCAAGACUAAAUUUAAACUCCUGUGGUCCUUUCUUUGUUGUAAUUCCUCUGCAAAUCACUGGCAUCAUCUUUUUCCAGAAUGAUAGAAGGUGCCAGGCUCUUAUAGAUUGCCUAAUAUACUGUAGGUAAUAUUGGUUGCAGUAGAAAAUAACAGCAAGUGGAGAAUAUUUGGCUGGAGCAUAUGUGACUGAAAAAUUGAGAAACAAAAUGGGAAAAUGACUAGAAAGAGUCUUCAGUGGCACAGCUUACAGUGUUUGAGGUGGGGUGUGUGAGUAGGGGAUGGCCUUUCUCUCUGCCUGUCUCCCACCCUGGCCUUCAACACCCAAGGGGGAAAACAGACACUUUCAUGUUUCCUCUCCUUUCCCCUAUGAAAAUUUAGAAUUUUGCAUUUUUACU